rnacentral:lncRNA from 1 species
AGAGGUGGUUGGGUCCUGAGAGCUCUGUCCUUAUGAAUGGAUUAGUGUCGUUAUUGCAGGAGUGGCUUCAUGAUGGAGAGAGUGGAUUUGUCAUGAAAGUGAGUUUGGCCAUUCCUUGCUGCUCACGUGCCACCUCUUGCCAUGGGAUGCCCUCGCCAUGGGAUGCCCUCGCCAUGGGAUGCCCUCUCCAUGGGAUGACAGCAAGAAGGCCCCUGCUUGAGUGAGCCCCUCCAUCUUCGGCUCUCUGGCCUCCAGGACUGUUAGAAAUACAUCUCUGUUCUUUGUAAAUUACCCAGGCUGUAGUAUUCUGUUAUGGCAACACAAAACAGACUAAGACACCAUUAUGUGGAUGAAGAAACAGGCCCAAGAGGUGAGGAGUGUUGUCCAGGUCUUCUGGCCAGAGAAGCGGCAGAGAUGGGAUUUGAACCCUGGGACUGUGUGGCUUGUGACCACUCCUAGCUUCAGCCCUGCCCGGUGCUGAGGGGUUUGGGGCCAGGACGAUGGCCAGAUAUUUGGGCACACUGGGCCCUACCCACCUGGAAAGAGGCUGGCCUGGGGUUGAAUCAGAACCAGAAGUGACUCAGGCUAGGACCCCUCUGCACCCUCCCUCAGGCCGUGGGUAAUUACUUGCCCAGGUUAAUAGGGCCCACUUCCCGCCACCUUUCAUCAAGGCUCCUGGAGCUGCCAGGCAGUAAUUAACCCUCACAGCACCCUUCUGAAGUCAGCACUGGAGGCAGACGUGUGAUGAAACUCGUUUAUUACAGGAAGUACCAGUUGGCCCAGAUGCUUCUCAUCUUUAGAGUUGAGCUGCAGGCUGGAGACCUGGAAGGCCCUCGCAGCACCUGCUCCCAACCUCUCACCUCACGAAAGCGCAGGAACAUGGGUUUGGAGCCAAUGAAAAGUACUGGAAUCUGGCUCUGCUCUGUGAUCCUGGGCAAGUCACUGCCCCUCUCUGGGCUUCAGUUUCCUCCUUG